UUCUAUAUUCGAACGAUUUUUUUUAAAAAAAAAAACCUUCAUUAUUUCUUCAUUCUGAUAAAAAAAUAAUGAAUUCCGUUCAUACAUUUCUUAUAGUUUUCGGCCUACCCCGAGCAUUUGCUGCUGGCGGUUCAUCGCAAAAAGAUUCAGACGCGGAACCAUCAGCUCCUGGUAAAUAACAAAUUUUAAUUCGAUUGCAAGGAUUGAUCUCUGAACUAAUCGGAAAUUUUUGCCACAAAAAUUCUAAUAAAAUUUCAGUACCGUUUGAUACGAAUGCAGCAAAACAGCUACUAAAUGGAAUGCUGGACUAUUUUAAUGGCCUUGGAGCAUUAACAGGAGAUUACCAAACACUUCAAACCGGAAUCAAUAACGCGACCGAUGCAAAGAGCGUAAUAGAAGCUGGUAGAGAAAUACUCACUGCCAGGGGUAGUCAAGGAAAUCUUGUAGAUAAGGCAGAAAAGGAUGCGAAUGUUGCUAGAACAAUGAUAG